UACGUAGGGGGCAAGCGUUGUCCGGAAUCAUUGGGCGUAAAGCGCGUGUAGGCGGCUCGGUAAGUCUGCUGUGAAAGUCCAGGGCUCAACCCUGGGAUGCCGGUGGAUACUGUCGAGCUCGAGUCCGGAAGAGGCGAGUGGAAUUCCUGGUGUAGCGGUGAAAUGCGCAGAUAUCAGGAGGAACACCAAUGGCGAGGGCAGCUCGCUGGGACGUGACUGACGCUGAGACGCGAAAGCGUGGGGAGCAAACAGG
rnacentral:rRNA from 1 species